AUCAUGGCUCAGAACGAACGCUGGCAGCAGGCUUAACACAUGCAAGUUGAACGGGAUUUGUGUGGUGCUUGCACCAUAUAAUGAGAGUAGCGCACUGGUGAGUAACACGUGGGAACGUGCCUUUUAGUGGGGGAUAACAUCUGGAAACGGAUGCUAAUACCGCAUACGCCCUGAGGGGAAGGAUUUAGUUGACGUAAGAGGUCGGCCCGCGGUAGAUUAGGCAGUUGGUGGGGUAAAGGCCUACCAAACCUACG
rnacentral:rRNA from 1 species